GCCAAGAACCAGCCAGCAGAUUUGCAUGCUAUAACUGAAUAAUUUGUGAUUCAGGGAAAAGUUAUGCUGUUGAUAAAAGGUAUCUGAUUAAUUGGAACUAUGAGAUGUCAUCUCUGAUGGAUAUGAAUUGCACAAGCCAGUUAAAAACGGUUCCCAGUAGUAUCUGGUACAAGCUACAUCAGAGAAAUCAGUGCAAAGGACCAAACCACAGAGAGCAAGACACUUCUCUGCUUUCUGAAUUUUCCAGAUGUACCAUGGGGCCUCUUCUUCCUCACACAUGGUAGUAGAAUCCACCGCUCUGUGAUGUGCAGUGAAGGACAGCAUUCAAGUGAAGAGUUUAUUAAUGAAAUAUGAUGGAGUAUGUACAUUUAAUCUUCCUAUCUACCUUCCUCUCGGUUUCCAUGACAUCUGAAACAUGUAAGUCACAUUUUAAGAAUACUUUCUGAUGAGGUUUAUUCUGUAGAAAUGUGUAGGCUGUUCCCAAAUUGGUGAUUUUUUUAAAACCUAAAAUUAGCUAGUUUACCUCAAGCCACAAACCACAGUUUAAAAACUAGCUUUAUGUGUUUUCUCUGUAUAUUAAAACACACUGAGCACUCUCUACUUCCGUGAUAUUGUCUAGGUUCUACUUCUGCUUCCUGGAAUCUCUGCAAGCAGA